rnacentral:rRNA from 2 species
GUGGGGAAUAUUGCACAAUGGGGGAAACCCUGAUGCAGCAACGCCGCGUGAGUGAUGAAGGUUUUCGGAUCGUAAAGCUCUGUCUUUGGGGAAGAUAAUGACGGUACCCAAGGAGGAAGCCACGGCUAACUACGUGCCAGCAGCCGCGGUAAUACGUAGGUGGCGAGCGUUAUCCGGAUUUACUGGGCGUAAAGGGAGCGUAGGCGGAUGAUUAAGUGGGAUGUGAAAUACCCGGGCUCAACUUGGGUGCUGCAUUCCAAACUGGUUAUCUAGAGUGCAGGAGAGGAGAGUGGAAUUCCUAGUGUAGCGGUGAAAUGCGUAGAGAUUAGGAAGAACACCAGUGGCGAAGGCGACUCUCUGGACUGUAACUGACGCUGAGGCUCGAAAGCGUGGGGAGCAAACAGG